GAGUUCGAAAUACAUCAUGUGCAUCACACCAUAUUUUUUGCCUGAGUUGUUUGUCAAACAAUAGAAAAAGCAGUGGACGGAAACCUUUUCUUCACAGUAACAACAUCAUGUUACAGAUGCCUUGUCUGGUUCCGCAGUGUGAAAUUUCAACACCAUAUCUAACCUUAAAAGACUUUAUCGAUACUCUUACUGGAAAGUCGAACAAGGUUGAAAUUUUUCUCCGGAGAGCAAAUAUAUCGGAAUUAUGUUUUUGCAAAAAAUACGCUUUCGUAACUAGAAUGGCUUGCUCGCAUGGACUUUGCCUAGAUUGUAUCAAUGAUAUCAUUUCUACAGAGACAGUGCAGUUCAAUAAAUGCAGGGGCAAUUUCGACAAAUGCACCAAUAUCAUUCCUAUCUCAAUAUUUCGGGCGUUUCUGCAAGAAAAAAAUGCAAAGG